GGUUAAGCGACUAAGCGUACACGGUGGAUGCCCUGGCAGUCAGAGGCGAUGAAGGACGUGCUAAUCUGCGAAAAGCGUCGGUAAGGUGAUAUGAACCGUUAUAGCCGGCGAUGUCCGAAUGGGGAAACCCAGUGCAAUUCGUUGCACUAUCGUUAACUGAAUACAUAGGUUAACGAGGCGAACCGGGGGAACUGAAACAUCUAAGUACCCCGAGGAAAAGAAAUCAACCGAGAUUCCCCCAGUAGCGGCGAG
rnacentral:rRNA from 1 species